CAAUAGCGUAUAUUAAAGUUGUUGCAGUUAAAAAGCUCGUAGUUGGAUUUCUGGACGGAAGCUCCUGUCCUCUGAUGAGCGUACAAGUGCGUCCUACCAUCCUUCUGUUAACCUUUAAGGCUUUCGCGGCUUUCUAGGGGCUCAGAUAUUUUACCUUGAGAAAAUUAGAGUGUUUCAGGCAGGCUAGCGCCGGAAUACAUUAGCAUGGAAUAAUGGAAUAGGACUUUUGCCUCUUCUGUUGGUCAUGAGGCUCGAGUAAUGAUUAAUAGGGAUAGUUGGGGGCAUUAGUACUUAACUGUCAGAGGUGAAAUUCUCGGAUUUGUUAAAGACUAACUUAUGCGAAAGCAUUUGCCAAGGAUGUUUUCAUUAA
rnacentral:rRNA from 1 species